rnacentral:piRNA from 1 species
UAAAAUGAAUCACCACUGUGCCUGUAUCA